GCGGCGCGGCGCGGCGCGCCCUGCCCUGUCCUGUCCUGUCCUGUCCUGUCCCGCGCUCAUACACACGCGUGCACACGCACUGGGCUGGGCGAGGGGCGCGCUGAGACGGGCCGCGGCCCGCGCCAAGAUAUGCAAAGGAAAAAUGCUAUGAGCUCAUCAGAGGGCUCUGGGAAAGCGCGGGGGGGACGUGUUUCUGGGAAGGGCUGCCUGCGCGCCCCCUCGGCAAGUGCCCGGGAGCCCCGCAGCCGCCCCUCACCCGCUGUCCUCAGGCAUGAGGAGAGGGGACAGCUCCUCAUCAAAAUCUCCCUCUUAGUCUCUGCCAUCUCUCUCCCUUUCUUUUUCAAUCCCCCCUGUUUUGCUCCAGCCUGCCAGGCGGUUUCCCGUCCCCCCCCGAGGCAGGGGGCUCCUCAGCGCUGCAGCCUUUGGCAGGAAAUGGGUGAGGGGGCGACGUUGUUGUUGUGAGGCGGUUCCCGAACCUGUUGAUCCUGGAUUGGCCUUGGCCAGUAUCUUUGGACCCACAGAUAAGGCAAACAUGGAAGACAAUCGUCCUCGACAGUGAGGGAUUGCCAAUGGUGUAUCGCCCCAAGAGGAACUGAAGCAAUACGAACAUAAUAUACAUGCCCAUACAUCUUUGAACAAUCUAACCUGCUUCUUUGUUGAGUGACUAUUGACAAACAGAUACUUGGAGGACUCUCUGAUGGAUCAAAGUACAACCUUUUGGGAGUAAGCAUGAACACUGUAAUUGGAUCUCAGAAUUCAUCUGAAUACCUUUGCUUUCCCAUACAUGUAUUUUUGAGAGAACUGAGAUCUGUCACGUAUCAUGUGGCAAUAUGCACUCUCAGACUCACAGCUUGUUGGGAACAUCACGAUGAGGAUAAGGGGUCCCGCAGGCCGGAUAGAAUGGCCUGGCGGGCCGCAUCCAGCCCCAGGGCCACAUUUUGCCCACCCUGCCUCUAAAAUCUAUCAGCAAGAGGUGAGCUCUUCCGAGGAGGUAGCCUGAUAUCAAGUGCUUGAAUCCAAGAUAGAAAGGCAGAGGUCGUUUUGUUCUUCCAGAUUUGGCACCUUAGAAGAGAAGUGGAUAUAUGCCUUAAAUAUAAAUUGGAAGAAUAAAUAACAGACAGGUGCUCAUUAUUUGUCACGCCAUGUGGGAUCUACAGGUUUCCAUAAUACUCUUUGGAAGAUUGGAGAGAGAUACUGAAAAAGAAAAGUUUUCCAUGAGUAUCCUUAUACCAGGGAAUAUAAUUAAAAUGAGCUUUUUUAACUACCUUCCAAUUGGGGAUCUCUGACACUUUGCAAAGAAAAAGUAAUCUCGCAGUAUUCCAUAUUGUUCUUUUUGCACACAUGGGGAAAACAGAGGCACAAUUGUCAGUCUCCUGCACUUAAGCCAUUUGCAGGGGUCACACUUGUGGUUAGGGAAUAUCUUGCUCAACAUCAUACAGGAAAGCUAUCCAGGAAGAAAACCCAGAAUUCCUGAGCCCCAGCUGGUGGGUUAGUCACAUAACCAUCCCUCUCUCUCUCUCUCUCUCAUUCGUGUUACUAGGGGAAGAUUGAAACCGUGACUUUAAGAAAUAUAAGAGGCUGAAUUUAUACUUGGUGUAACUAAGGAGUAUCAAUUUAUGUAGCAUAUUUUACAAACAUCAGAAUGAUAUGGGGAGCUGCCAUUUCUGGAAUACUUAUAAGGUGGGACACCAUAUGCAGUUUAACAACUCUAGCAGCACUAGAUGAUAUACUCCAUUUUAAGAUCAACACACAAUGGCUAGGGACAGAAAUUACACAUAAACUGGUAUAAGUGAUUGGAAACCAGUCUAAACCUAUAACAGAACAGAAGUUCAAUGCACAUAGAGUACAGACAGAAAUGACAAUUUUUGCCUGAUCCGGCCACAAAAAGUGGCCAAACACAAGUGCACGGCUGCAAACAGCUUAAAAAUGGCUGAUUCAGUGAAAAUCUGACCCCUCAUUACAUGAGGUAUCAGAUAAAGAUGUUGUGAAAUGUGCUGUUUUGUAUAACUUGUGUCUGUGGAGCUUCCAGCCUGUCAUUGUUUUCAGAAUGGGCGGAGGGAAAGAGGGAGGUCAGCCUGGGGGGUUUUCAGCCCCCCUGGAGAGUAGGCAGGUAUAUUGUAGCCCCUCUCCCCCAAGGUGGGGGGGGGGGCUCCAAUUCACCCAUCCUACACUUCAGCACCAGCUGGGGAGCCCCAAGAAUGAGCUCUUUCUGCUGCCUUUCCCCACUCCCAUUCUGAAAACAGUGAGCACUGGCAAAGAGCCAUGGCCUUUGCUAUGGGAACCUGGCUGCAGGAUCCCAGCCCACAGCUAGAUUGCCCUCCACCCUGGAACCAACAGUGAGCUUCUGUUUGGUCUGGGGUAACUUGUAACUCAGAACACUUUGCAAAAAUUGUUCUGAGUUACAGCUAAGAGCUGUGCUUCUGUCUGCACCCAUAGACCAGUUUCAAAGUGGCCGAACCCAAUUUAAGAUAGACAUGGAUGGAUGGAGUAUCAAAUUUAAGCAGUUUAGAUUAGACUGGUCUAUAGAACUUCUGUUCCAGAUCCCCUCCCGAUUCAAGUUAGGUCACAGACCUCUGGCAUCCCAGGAUGCUUUGCAGAGCCUGCUAACCCCUCCUCACAGGACAGGUGGGCUAGCCUCAGCCAGUGCUCUGCUCCAGGCAUGCCAAGUUGGCCCAUCCCUGGGCUGUCACAGAGCUGAGGCAGCAAAGUCUGUGCUCCCUAGCCCUGUGUCUUGCCUGUGCCUGUCAACCCAGCAGGGGGGAUUCAGGGGAACAAAGCCCUGAGCCUCAACCGCAGGCUCCCCCCCACCCCAAAGCAUGGGUCUGCCCAGCUGGGGGAGGCCCUGUACCAUGGGGGAUUUUCACCACCCCAACCAGCCAGCUGCACUUCCCUUACCCCUGUGAGUCUCUGCCUCUGACCUGCACAGGGGAGUGGGGAAUGAAGCCCCCUGUCCUAUCUCAGCACCCCCCCCCAGUUGGAGUCUUUCUAGCUGCAUAGAGUCCAUGCUGGGGGGAGGGGAUGUUCCCCCACCACUGUCUCAGUGCUUCUUCCCCCCCCCCCCGACUGGGUUCUUCCCAGCAUGGGGGGAGGGGCUGGACCAUGUGGGGGAGGUUUCUCCUGUCACUAUCUCAGCUCCAGACCACUGUGGUGGGCUUCAUUUCCCCCUCCCCCUGUAGAUACAAGGUGCAGGGCUGUGGAGCCAGCCCAGCUGGGCAUGUACAGGCCAUGGAGAUUGGGGUAAAAGGGCUGAAACAGGGGCAGGGGAAACCCCUGGCAGCUCAGGGCCACCCCUAGCUGGGAAAACCCCAGCUCAAGGGGAGGAGACAGCAGGGGGAUAGGGGCAUGUACCAGGCAGCCUGUGAGAAAUGGUCCCUACUCAGCUGCUCUUAGGUGCUCUCUGGGAGGUGUGGCAGAGUGCCCCCUGCCUUUUGGCCCCAAACAGUGCAGGCAUCUUUCUGUCUUUCUGAACAAGAGAACGAACAUGAGUUCUGUUCAUUAUCGGUUCAAUCUAUACAGCUUAGAGAAACCUGUGAUGGUUGGAUCAAUUCCUUCUGGGGCUUUUUGACUGUCUAUACUUAGCCAACAGGACACAUUCUGUUUUCACUUUACACUAGUGUAGCCCCAUUCAAGUCAAUGACAUCAUGUAAUUGAAAGCAGAAUUUGCUUGAAUGGAGUUGUGCUAAUGUAUGUAAGAGCAGAAUCUGACUUAAUGAGGAUUAGAGGGAUGCAUGGUAAAUCUUUCCUUUUUACUGUCAAUUUAUUUUUCAGCAGUUUUUAUAUAUUACAGGGUCAAAGAACAAUAUGUCCAUGCAUGAGGAAAGGCAGUCACACCAGGAAAAAGAUUGACUUCACAAUGGUUCUAUUUUGUGUAUAAAAAUUAAUAUAGAAUCCUGAGCCUUCUUUCUUUAUUGUAUUUUAAGACCCAAAGGUCUAGUAGGGCUCUUGUGGCCUAUGCUUGUUUUGAUGCUUGUAUUGUCUUUUUGUGAGCAGUUGUGCUACUUCACUAAUUACCUUUGCACGUUUAGACUGCAUCAGUAAGAAAGCACAUUGAUAUAUUGAAUCUUAAGUCUUGUUUCAUUGUGACAAAUGUGAUCAGCCUGUCCAGUUUACCUUUUUGUCAUGAGACUUCUAUGUAACGCAAUUAAAUGUGUACAUACAAAUGUCCUAUCUUCUUCAAACUAGAUUGCAAUUGAAUUAGUUCAGGGAUUGUUUCUUUAUUCCUAUAGGGUUCAGUGAACAUCAAUAGCAUCAUCUGUAAAUAUUCAUAAUUAAUAUUUGUUUUAAUACUAAUGGGAGUUGGCAACAGGUAUUGCCUUAAUCUUUAACAACAGGGGGGGGGAAAGUUUGGUAAAAUGUAUGCAACAUCUUUUUGUUUAGCCAGCUGGACAAGGACAUGUUUGAAAUGGACAAAAUGUGAUGUAAUUCUUGAAAAAGCAUUAAUUGGGGAGAAACUUUUUCUUUUAUCAUAAUUCAAUGCCUGUAAGAAAAUAAGUACAGUAAAAUCUUAGCUAAUCCCUCAGGGGGCCAACAUGAAUUGAUUACUUAAUGUAGGUAGUCUUUUAAUACAUUUACAGUUUUACUGGAUGUGUUUCUGGAUACUCUGAGGCAAUCAUACACAAGGAUUUGUUUAAUAAGUUUUUUUAUAGAUUUCACUGUCAACUUGAUUUGUUCCAAGAUGGGACAUUCAACCAAAAAAAAAAUGUGUCCUAUACUUAUGAUUUUUCAUUUAAUAAUUACCCAGUAUUCCAAUGGAUAAAGUCUUACCCAUACAUAUUUUGAAAUUUUUAUUUUAACAUAUGUUGAAAUGUAUUAUCUUUUACAUAUUAAAACUACCUAUAAAUAAACUCAUGGCACAUUUAUAAAGAUACAUGUCUCCAAGAAGUAGCUGACAGAUGAAAGAGCUGAUUUUGAAAGGAAUAGCUUCAAAAUAGUGAGGCAACUUGAAAGUACUUCUUGUUCCAUGCUCUAACAUUAAACCAACUUUUUGAUAGUUGCCAAUAAAUAAUCUAUUUUUAUUGGUCUUAAAGUUGUAUUGAGCUUUGACUGACUUGACUCCUAGAUGAAGGAAAUGGAACUCCAUCUUUGAACUGAAGAGAAAAUGUGAAAGGUGGACAUAGUGCCAUUCUCUUGAACAGUGCCAGUUAGGUCCUCCAGCUACAAUUCUGAACUUCUAAGGUCUAAACAAGUGUGACGGGUGCCAUUUCAGGGCUGGGUCUCAUCGUUGACCUGCCCACCUGUCUAGGGCAGUCUGCCCUGUCCACCUGCCAUGACUUGAUGUAUAAAAAAAAGAUAUAACCAUGCGGGAGGCUGCCCAUUUUAUGCCCUGAUGCCACAGCUCCGACCUUCCCUAUACCAUGUCCCAUGCCUCACAGAGGGUAUCCCAAGUUGGUGACAACUACAGCUUGUGACCGGGCCAAACUCUGCCCCUUGCUGGGCCUCUAGCAUGCUGCGCUUCACAAAGCCUCAAACACACUGCCCGCUCCUGGGCCUCAAUCAUUCUGCCCCUCACUGGGCCUUACUCAUCCUGUCCUAGUCUGCGCAGCCCUUCAGGUCCCCAUUGGAUCCUACUCUACAUGGCCCUUCAGGCUUCCUUGGUCACACACUAUAGACAGCUCACACACAGCCCUUCAGGCUGCCCUCACACAGACCAUACUCCACGUGGCUGUUGGCCUUCUGCCCCACAAUGGGCCAAACUCAGCUUCUAGUCCCUCUCUGUGCCACUCUUUCACUUACUUGAUGGGGCCACUACUUGGUCCCCCUUCACUGGGGUCUUGAAGUCUUACACCCAAUGGGGCUCAGGUGUCCAUAGAUGUGCCUGGUCCCCUUCCUGUCCCUACUGCCAUGUUACCCACCAGGCUAUGAGGGCUGGGGCUAUAAGGCAUCCCAUACUCACCUUUCACUAGGGAGGCAACUGGUGUGGCAUUUCCUGGGGACCACCCCACCACAGGCAGCCCCACCACACCAUCCUGUCCUAGCAGGGUAUAAUUUUACAUCAUGCCCCAGACCAGGAACCUCCUGCCAUCCCCAUAGUGUCUGCCCUGUACCUCCAAGGAUGUUAUGUUAGCAACAGCUCCAGCCAGGUGAUGUUCCCCCUCCAGCUGCUUGCUGCAAACCUCUGGCUCCCCUGCUCAGGACUGCUCAUACUGCCAGCAGAUGAGCCCUCUUCCCCAAUCAGGCGACCUCCUGAUGGCCAUGUGACCCCUGAUUUAGACUGCAACCACUUGCAGGCUGCUCUGCUGCUUUGUCUAAGCCGUUAAAGUGGCAGGCACCAAAGGUGCUCUGCCACAGCAAGCCAUGGUACCUGCUACCAUUAACACUGUCAUAAUUUGAAUAUUUUUUUAAUUUAUUGACGUUAUUGAUAAUAUUAGUGUAUGAACACUAACUCUUUAAUUAUGUUGUAUCUUGGUUGGAUUUCCUAUACUGUACAUGCAGAGUAUAUUGCUAUCUACUGAGUGGGAUAUCUGACUUUCUCAAGAGAGCAUGUGGGUUUGCAGCAGUGUGUAGCCCUCUAGAGUUGCCUGUAUAUGUGCGGGGAAGCUGUUCUGAUGCACAUUUACAGCGUGUCAGAGCACAGUUGAUUAAUCAAGUAAUUAGCAUGCUCCAGCAGAUUAAUCAAGUCUGCUGUAGCUUGCUAAUUAGCACACCUCCAGCAGCCUCUGCAUCUCAUGUAUCAGCA